CCUACGGGAGGCAGCAGUGGGGAAUAUUGGGCAAUGGGCGCAAGCCUGACCCAGCAACGCCGCGUGAAGGAAGAAGGCUUUCGGGUUGUAAACUUCUUUUGUCAGGGACGAAGCAAGUGACGGUACCUGACGAAUAAGCCACGGCUAACUACGUGCCAGCAGCCGCGGUAAUACGUAGGUGGCAAGCGUUAUCCGGAUUUACUGGGGGUAAAGGGCGUGUAGGCGGGGGAGCAAGUCAGAUGUGAAAUUCCAGGGCUCAACCCUGGAACUGCAUUUGAAACUGUUUUUCGUGAGUGCUGGAGAGGCAGGCGGAAUUCCGGGUGUAGCGGUGAAAUGCGUAGAUAUACGGAGGAACACCAGUGGCGAAGGCGGCCUGCUGGACAGUAACUGACGCUGAGGCGCGAAAGCGUGGGGAGCAAACAGGAUUAGAUACCCCUGUAGUC
rnacentral:rRNA from 1 species